rnacentral:rRNA from 1 species
UAGGGAAUCUUCCGCAAUGGACGAAAGUCUGACGGAGCAACGCCGCGUGAGUGAAGAAGGAUUUCGGUUCGUAAAACUCUGUUGUUAGGGAAGAAAAAAUGUAUAGUAACUAUAUACAAAAGAGACGGUACCUAACCAGAAAGCCACGGCUAACUACGUGCCAGCAGCCGCGGUAAUACGUAGGUGGCAAGCGUUGUCCGGAAUUAUUGGGCGUAAAGCGCGCGCAGGUGGUUUAGAAAGUCUGAUGUGAAAGCCCACGGCUCAACCGUGGAGGGUCAUUGGAAACUAAUAAACUUGAAUGCAGGAGAGAAAAGUGGAAUUCCUAGUGUAGCGGUGAAAUGCGUAGAGAUUAGGAGGAACACCGGUGGCGAAAGCGGCUUUUUGGCCUGCAACUGACACUGAGGCGCGAAAGCGUGGGGAGCAAACAGG